rnacentral:rRNA from 1 species
GAUUAGAGUUUGAUCAUGGCUCAGAACUAACGCUGGCGGCGUGCCUAACACAUGCAAGUCGUACGAGAAAGUCGGCUUCGGCUGAUGAGUAAAGUGGCGCACGGGUGAGUAACGCGUGGAUAAUCUGCCUUUUAGUUGGGAAUAACGUACCGAAAGGUGCGCUAAUACCGGAUAAUACUGCAUAACUACUGUUGUGUAGUCAAAGAAGGCCUCUGUUUACAAGCUUUUGCUGAAAGAUGAGUCCGCGUACCAUUAGCUAGUUGGUGGGGUAAUGGCCUACCAAGGCUACGAUGGUUAGCUGGUCUGAGAGGAUGAUCAGCCACACUGGAACUGAGACACGGUCCAGACUCCUACGGGAGGCAGCAGUGAGGAAUAUUGCGCAAUGGGGGCAACCCUGACGCAGCAACGCCGCGUGAGUGAGGAAGGUUUUCGGACCGUAAAGCUCUGUCGAGCGGGAAGAAAUGUAUCGUGGCUAAUAUCCAUGAUAUUGACGGUACCGCUAAAGAAGC